rnacentral:rRNA from 1 species
UACGGGGGGGGCAAGCGUUGUUCGGAAUUACUGGGCGUAAAGGGCGCGUAGGCGGUUUGUUAAGUUGGAUGUGAAAACUCUGGGCUUAACCCAGAGCCUGCAUCCAAAACUAGCAGACUAGAGUUCUGGAGGGGAUAGCGGAAUUCCUGGUGUAGCGGUGAAAUGCAUAGAUAUCAGGAGGAACACCGGUGGCGAAGGCGGCUAUCUGGACAGAGUCUGACGCUGAGGCGCGAAAGCUAGGGGAGCAAACAGG